AAGUUUAUAAAUACGACUUUCAAAGUUUGUCAACAUGGUUUUUUUUAAACCGAGUUCCAAAGUUCGUCAACUGAUUAAAGUUUUAAAUUUUUACUUACCGGUGAUUUUUAAAGACGUCAAAUGUUUUGACAGCUCGUCUGGACAUAAAUUCACGGACUACUGGGCACCCCUGAUAACUUAUCCCAGUUGAACGACCUGCCAUACACACAAUCCGUGACGUCACAUCGAGCGGAUAUGCAUGAUCCGGAAGAAGUUUCCUAAAUAUUUAAUUUUUGUUUCUCGAUAAAUUAAUAAUUUGAAUG
rnacentral:sRNA from 1 species